ACAUGCAAGUCGAGCGAACGGACGAGAAGCUUGCUUCUCUGAUGUUAGCGGCGGACGGGUGCGUAACACGUGGAUAACCUACCUAUAAGACUGGGAUAACUUCGGGAAACCGGAGCUAAUACCGGAUGAUAUUUUGAACCGCAUGGUUCAAAAGUGAAAGACGGUCUUGCUGUCACUUAUAGAUGGAUCCGCGCUGCAUUAGCUAGUUGGUAAGGUAACGGCUUACCAAGGCAACGAUGCAUAGCCGACCUGAGAGGGUGAUCGGCCACACUGGAACUGAGACACGGACCAGACUCCUACGGGAGGCAGCAGUAGGGAAUCUUCGGCAAUGGGGGCAACCCUGACCGAGCAACUCCGCGUGACUGAAGAAGGUUUUCGGAUCGUAAAGCUCUGUUGUUAGAGAAGAAUGAUGGUGGGAGUGGAAAAUCCACCAAGUGACGGUAACUAACCAGAAAGGGACGGCUAACUACGUGCCAGCAGCCGCGGUUAUACGUAGGUCCCGAGCGUUGUCCGGAUUUAUUGGGCGUAAAGCGAGCGCAGGCGGUUUUUUAAGUCUGAAGUUAAAGGCAUUGGCUCAACCAAUGUACGCUUUGGAAACUGGAGAACUUGAGUGCAGAAGGGGAGAGUGGAAUUCCAUGUGUAGCGGUGAAAUGCGUAGAUAUAUGGAGGAACACCGGUGGCGAAAGCGGCUCUCUGGUCUGUAACUGACGCUG
rnacentral:rRNA from 1 species